AUUGUGGUAUAUUAAUAAUUAAUAAGUCAUUUUCUUCUUUCCAAAUGCAGGUAGCCAAGCUCUCUUCAAACAUACAUAGUUUCUACUCUACCUAGAAAAAGCCUUCAUAUUCUACAUAGAAGCAUCUAUCCUUUUCAAUUAUCAUCCUCUUUUCAUCCUUAACAGUCCCACUCAAAUGAUGCCUUCACUCCCUUCAUAUCUGUAUACUUUCUAAAUUCUAACUUAUAUCCUCAAAAGUCCACUGAUGAUCUCUUCUCUAAAUUCACCAAUAAGCUCCUUUCAGUCAGAUCUGAAAGGAUAUAUCCAUCCUAUUAGCACUUGGCUACAUCUGACACCACCCCAUCGGAUCGUUCUGGUUCUCUUAAGCUUCUACCUAGCUCCACAAGACUCUCCCUUCUCUGAUCCACAGAGUCCUCCAGGGUUUGAUCCUCAACCUUUUCCUUUCCUCUGCUUACCCAUUUCCCAUUUCCCUGAGGAAUACAUCCACCAUCUGGGUGUGCUGAUAUAUUGGCACAGUCUUUUGGUUUGCAUUUCUUCAUUUCUCUGCUCCCUCUAUAUUUAUGAAUACCAAAGUAUCUACCACCUCUCCCACAACACUUCAAGGACUGGCAGCACAUUCCUGUGUGUUUUCUCAUGACCUGAUAUUACAUAAUACUCUCUGAUUCUGGCUUCUUCUCUUUAGACAAUCAAGACUUGCACAACUAUGAAAUAACACAGUGGGCAGCUGAGUUUUGCAGUCCCAUCUCUAAAAAAGAGAACCACUAGAGAGUCCGCGGCCAAAGAUCUUGCAGGAGCCAAGUGGCCAUGGCCUACCACAGCUUCCUGGUGGAGCCCAUCAGCUGCCAUGCCUGGAACAAGGACCGCACCCAAAUUGCCAUCUGCCCAAACAACCAUGAGGUGCACAUCUAUGAGAAGAGUGGGACCAAGUGGACCAAGGUGCAUGAGCUCAAGGAGCACAAUGGGCAGGUGACAGGCAUCGACUGGGCUCCUGAGAGUAACCUCAUUGUAAGCUGCGGCACAGAUCGCAACACCUACGUGUGGACACUGAAGGGCCGCACAUGGAAGCCUACCCUGGUCAUCCUGUGGAUUAACCGGGCUGCUCACUGUGUGCGCUGGGCCCCCAACGAGAACAAAUUUCCUGUGGGCAGUGGCUCCCGUGUUAUCUCCAUCUGUUAUUUUGAGCAGGAGAAUGACUGGUGGGUGUGCAAGCACAUCAAAAAGCCCUCCGCUCCACUGUUCUCAGCGUGGACUGGGACCCCAACAACAUGCUCCUGGCUGCAGGCUCCUGUGACUUCAAGUGCUGGAUCUUCUCAGCUUACAUCAAGGAGGUGGAGGAGAGGCCGGCACCCACACCAUGGGGCUCCAAGAUGUCCUUUGGUGAGCUGAUGUUUGAAUCCAGCAGUAGCUGUGGCUGGGUGCAUGGCGUUUGCUUCUCAGUCAGCGGGAGCCGUGUGGCCUGCGUCAGUCAUGACAGCACUGUGUGCCUGGCUGAUGCUGACAAGAAGAUGGCCGUUGCAACCCUGGCCUCUGAAACUCUGCCGCUGCUGGCACUGACCUUCAUCACAGAAAACAGCCUGGUGGCAGCGGGCCACGACUGCUUCCCAGUGCUCUUUACCUAUGAUGGCACAGCAGGGACGCUGAGCUUCAGCGGGAGGCUGGACGUGCCCAAGCAGAGCUGCAGCGGGGCUUGACAGCCCAUGAAUGCUUCCAGAACCUAGACAAGAAAGCGAGCUCGGAGGGUGGCCCGUCCUCAGGGGCUGGCCUUGACUCACUGCACAAGAACAGCGUCAGCCAGAUCUCGGUGCUCAGUGGGGGCAAGGCCAAGUGCUCACAAUUUUCCACCACUGGCAUGGAUGGUGGUAUGAGCAUCUGGGACGUGAAGAGCUUGGAGUCAGCAUUGAAAGACCUCAAGAUCAAAUGACUCGUGAGGAGUAUGUUGCCUUCAUCCCAGCUGCUGGGGAAGUGGGGAGAGGGGAUCAGGGAGAUUAGGGUCACUUUGCUGAAUGUUUCUAGGGUACUAGUAUGGGUCACUAUAGGGGCUGCUUCUCAAAAGGGAAGGAGACAGGCCUCAAGCAGGGGCUUUGCAGAUAUCUUACCUAGUCAAGGAUCAUGUGCCUUUUUCUUAAAUGCUUUCAUUUGUUGUAAAAAAUAUCCUCAGAGCACUAUGCUGGUCAUGAAUUGCUUCAAAACAUGGAGGUAAUAAAAAUGCAGUGGUGGA